rnacentral:antisense_RNA from 1 species
UUUGGUACCCUCGCUGCGAAGGCACGACAUUGCUCACAUUGCUUCCAAGUAUUACUUAGCCAGCUCGGGUGCUGGCUUUUUUUU